GGCAGCGGCCAUUCCACAGUGGACAUGGGCCGUGGAGCAGCUGCACAGUGAGCUACCGCCCAAGAAAGACAUUAUCAAGUUUCUGCAGGACCAUGGCUCCAGAUUCGUUUCUUGCAGAAACAGGAAUUAUUAGAAAACAUUAAAAAUGUGGCCAAGGCAGCUAAUUAGGAUCAUUUGGUUACAGCCUAUAACCAUUGUUUUGAAAGUAAGCCUUUCAAAGGUACCGAAAGUAAAAGUAUUUGAACAAGUGAGAAGUGUGACGCUUAAUGAAGAGAAACCCAAAGAGACAAAUCUGAAGAGACUCUGGAUGAGGGUCCUCCAAAAUACAUAAAACCUAGCU
rnacentral:lncRNA from 1 species